CCCCCCCCUCUUGGGUUGUGUCUCUGGGCAAUACUUUUUUUUUGAGUUAAGAAUGAUUUAAAUUUUGUGCAUGGCUAUGUAUCAGAGCAACAUGUAUCAAGGCAAUAUAAACUAAAUGUAAUAGAGUUAAAAUGGUGUAAGAAAGUUUAGAAUGAUGCAUCAGAGCUCAAUAAAGUAUUAGAAUCAAUAAUGUAUUUGAGCUAGUG
rnacentral:lncRNA from 1 species